UAAACUUAGACAACACAACUUAACCUAAAUAUAUUAUCUUAAUUAAAAAUUUGAAUAUUAUAUUAGUUCUUUCUCUUAAUUUAUAUGAAUUUUUCUGCCUUUUGCUUUUUCUUAAAAUUUUAUUUAAUGGAAUUUCUCCUUUUUUCUGUUGCAGGGUCUCCCUCCUGGUUCUGGUUUUUAUUUUAUGCCAGUGGUUGUAUCAAACAAGCGGAUCACUCUUCCGCGACCUCGUCCACCAGGAUAAAGCAGAACCCGGAUAUCAUGGAUCAAGGGAAUUGGUGUUAUGGAGGCGGUUGCUGGGGCCUCAAUUUUGCGUUGUGGUGGUUGCUGUGGCCGUCAAAGAUGGGCUGACCUCUCCGCUUUUGUUCGCCGAGGAGGCCAGUUGAUACCCUCGAGAAAUUUAAAUUAUUUUGGCGAAACACUGAAAGACAUAAAAGCACACAACACAAAAACACUCAUAUAUCUACACAAUUAUAAUUCAUACAAGGAUCACUUACAAUCAAUUACUAACGCCUUCACCAUAAAUAAUAAAAUAAAUAUCGAGGCUUUUAUUGCCUUAAAAAAAGUAA